rnacentral:rRNA from 1 species
GCGGCGUGCUUCAUACAUGCAAGUCGAACGAGAAGCAGGAGCUUGCUCCUGUGGAAAGUGGCGGACGGGUGAGUAACACGUAGGAAAUCUGCCUUUGGGUGGGGGACAACAGUUGGAAACGACUGCUAAUACCCCAUAUGAGCUUGGUUGCAAUACCAAUCUCGAAAACUCCGGUGCCUAAAGAUGAGCCUGCGUCUGAUUAGCUUGUUGGCGGGGUAAUGGCCCACCAAGGCGACGAUCAGUAGCUGGUUUGAGAGGAUGGUCAGCCACAAUGGGACUGAGAAACGGCCCAUACUCCUACGGGAGGCAGCAGUAGGGAAUUGUGCGCAAUGGGGGAAACCCUGACGCAGCAACGCCGCGUGAAUGACGAAGCCCUUCGGGGUGUAAAGUUCUGUCAGUAGGGAAGAAUUUUGACUGUACCUACAAAGGAAGCACCGGCUAACUCCGUGCCAGCCGCCGCGGUAA